AUACUCCGUCACCUUCUCCAGUGAGAAGGCGCGGGGCUGCCUUCUCACCGGAGAAGGAGACGAGA
rnacentral:pre_miRNA from 1 species